rnacentral:rRNA from 1 species
GUGGAUUAGAUACCCUGGUAGUCCACGCCGUAAACGAUGUCAACUAACCGUUGGGUUCUUAAAGAACUUAGUGGUGGAGCUAACGUAUUAAGUUGACCGCCUGGGGAGUACGGCCGCAAGGCUAAAACUCAAAUGAAUUGACGGGGGCCCGCACAAGCGGUGGAGCAUGUGGUUUAAUUCGAUGCAACGCGAAGAACCUUACCUACCCUUGACAUGUAGCGAAUCCUUUAGAGAUAGAGGAGUGCCUUCGGGAACGCUAACACAGGUGCUGCAUGGCCGUCGCCAACU